ensembl:lncRNA
CCUGUGCUCAAAAGUGGGACUUUUGGAAGGGAAUUGAAUUAUGGGUGCAGGACAGCUGAUUGCUAUUAGAAGGUGCUCAGAGGAGGCAGGCACUGUGGGCGUGGCCCAGAAGGGUGUAGCACUCUUUCUGCUUCCUGUCUGCCAUUGCCGUAAGCAGCUCUCCCCCACCAUGCCCUUCUGCCAUACCAUCCUGCCUCGGAGCCGGAGGACCAUGCAAGGACUGAAACUACUAAAAUGUGAGCCAAAAUACACCUUUCCUCUUUUAAGUUGUGGGUGUCAGGUAUUAUAUCUCAGCGAUGAGGAGGCGACUAAGAUGUGGCCCAUCAUUAUCUAGGUUGAUCUGAGAACAAACCGCAGCACCUGAAAGCACAUGGCCAGCUGAUGGAUGUUUGGCUCUGAUGGGCCAUUUUACAAGAUGCCUUAGGAAGGCAGGGAGUUUCAUCGCGAGUCCUUCAAACUGGUGCUGAGCCACAAACCAGCCAAGAUUGUAGAAUGUGUCACAUUCAGAAAGCAUCAAGCCAAUGCCAGCCCAGGCUGUGCUUCCAGAUGAGCAAGGCCCUCCUUCUGGGUUUGGAUACUGACUGAAGUUUUGCUUUCACGGUGACUGACACCUUCAUAAGGAUUCUAUCAGAUAAAAUUCCAGGUUUUUAAUUGCCAAAAGCCCAAGACCUCAUCUCCUCACACCUUGGCCCCCGACAGAGAAAUCCAAAGCAGAAGCUCUUUUUUUUAGAAAAAAAUUGAACUGACACAUAACAAUUGCAGGCAUUUGUGGUGUGAAUCACAGUGUGAUCGUUCAAUACAUAUGUACAGUGUGUAAAGAUCAGACCAGGAAGAACAAUGCAGCCACUCGCUCAGAAAAGCCAAGUCUUGAGGACACUCCUGAGACUUCUCCGGCUUCCUCCAUGAUCAGUGGCUUACUGAGACCAGUUGGGUGAUAAGCAAGAGCAACUGUCAGUAAAUGGAGAAGUCAAGGAUGUUCACCAGAGGCUGCAGAACAUGCAAGUCAUGGAACAAGACCAAGGAAAAGGGAGACUUGAUUAUUUCUGUAAGGAAGAAGGAGGGGUGGUAGAUCGAGGGAACAAGGAAUAUCCUUGAAAAUGAGGUCAGUUAAAUGGACGAGAGGGAUACGAACAUGCAGUGGGGUAGGGUAUGAAUGAAACCAUCUGAAAAACCAAGAGAGGCCCACAUUCCCACUCAGAGGCAACCCAGUUGAGGGCUUGCCCAGGACCGCUCCCUGCUUGAGCUACCCAAGGGAGGAGACUUGCUAGGGAAGGACACAAUGCUUUCUUCCCCAGUUUUGCUCCUGAAUCCACACAGCAGCACACAAUGAUCCCCAGAAAACACCUGCUGACAUCAUUCCUGCCUUCUAGCAGAUGGGCAGUUUGGGGGAAGGCAGAUAAGCACAUGUUCAGUCCAUAGGGCGAUGGUUUCUGCCCCACGGUGACUGCUGAGGUCUCCAGUGCAGCUUCAAUGACACACAUGGUACCCCAUGGGCCCACCGAUGUUCCCCUCCUUGGAGCCAAGCUAGUGACCCACCUGUGAGCAGGAAAAGAGGGAAAUGGAGGACAGCUUUACAUGUUAACCCUUGACCUGGUUUGCCCUCUAAUUAAGAGCAGUUAACUGAGUUUUACUUCACCUCCAGGAGAGUAAAAGGACUGUGAAUUUAUCUACUCUCCUUGGAAUUCCAGAUAGUUUGGGAUCUUAUAUUUAUUUCCACUGACAGUGCAGAUUUAUAAAAAGAUACACAAAGGCAUGUGUCUUAAUUAGCAUUACCAAAAAAGGUCUUAUGAACUAAAGCACACACGAUUAGGUUUUCUUAAGGUAUUUUAUUUUCUAAAUGCAUUUAAUGUAAAAUUUCCCAUACUCAAAACAUGUUUAUUUAUGAAGACAAGGAGAGAGGAUUUUUGUUGGUUUCUCCCUGAAUGUGUUCCCCACUUUCCUCUUCCUAAGAGACCUGGAAUUUCCCAGCCAGAUAGCUUGGAUGAAAUUGGUUUCACCCUUUCAAGUCCUGGGAUGAUCCAUCCCGCCUAGUCAAUCAAAGCCAGUGAGAUUCAGUGAGGGGAUUUCAGUUCAGCUAUUGGAGAAGUGAUGUCUUCCUGCUAUGUACUACCUGGAAACUUGUACCAGGAGGGGAGGGCCUGCCUGUGAAUAAAACCGCCAAGCACCAAGGUGGCAGAGGUAAGAGGUGGAAGGGGUCCUAGUCACAGGAUUGAGGCCAUGAAUGUAGCCUCAUUUUGGAAAACUUCCUACAGGAAUCAAUGCAUAUGCUGAGCUGAGACAGCUUAGGUCAGGUUUUUCCAUUAUUUGCAACCAAAACAUCCUAUGAAAAUACCUAGCAUCUAUACAAUGAUGCAAGGAUCUAAAACUGUUUUUCGAUCAUUGAGCCUGGC